rnacentral:misc_RNA from 1 species
GCAAAUAAUAGCCUUAGCGGAGAAAUCCCUUUAGAAAUCAGAAGUUUACGCAGAUUGGAGUACUUAAUUCUGACAAAUAAUUCCAUCACUGGAAAAAUUCCUGUGGAGCUAAGUUAUUUGUCAGAGACUGAAGUUGUUUCUCUAGCCGGAAACAACCUUAUAGGAGUUAUUUCCUCUUCCUCUUGCUAAUCUAUUACCUCUUCAGGUACUUGCUACUGUUGCAUCCCAAGUUAAUAAUUAUUGCAAAGCUAAAUUGAUGUUGAAUUUAUUGCAGUCCCUUCCUCAAUAUUGUUAAUAUCUCCUGUAUCCAGGUUUUGAAUUUACGUGACAACUCGCUCCAAGGUCCACUUUCAUGAAUUAUUUCUUUAAUGCUCGCAAUAGUUUUUCUGGACAAGUACCUUCUUUCAUUUGCAGUUUAAAUUACCUUAACCUUCUUAACCUUUCCGAUAAUAAUUUUGGUGGAACUAUACCAAGAUGUCUUGGAAAGUUGAGUAAUGAUUUCUCACUCCUAGAUUUGAGAAUGAAUCGGUUUCAUGGUCCACUUCACAUAUUCCCAUCUUCCCCUGAAUAUUUCUAUAUUGCAGACAACAACAUUUCUGGGGAGAUCCCUUCCUUGUCUUGCAAUUUAAAUUGCCUGCGAUAUCUUGCCUUGUCUAUUAACACUCUGGGUGGAAUAUUACCAAAAUGCCUUGGAAACAUCAGCAAUCUUUUCUAUUCCCUAAAUUUAGCCAUGAAUCAGUCCCAU